AUGGCGUCGCCGUGGCUCAGGUGCAAAACGGAUGCAGCUCCGUGCACCACCGGGUUGCAGCACAUCGCGGCACACCGUCGUCGUCGUAGCAAAAACGGUUGGCUGGCUGCAGCUUUUGUGUUGCCGGUUGCAGCUCAUCGCGGCAGCACUGUCGGCGCCGUAGCAAAACAGUUUGCCGGUUGCAGCUUUUUAUUUUGCCGGUUCCAGCUGCUGGCGCAACCAAUAGCAGCACCGGAGCUCGCCGGUUCCAGCGGACGAUGGGUGGACUGCAGCGGUGGUCCUAAGGGGCAGCGACGGCGUGGGCUCGCAGCAUCACUGGUGUGCCCGACCUUGCCUUGGGUACUGAUGGAAGAAGGGAGGCCAGAGGUAGAAGAAGAAAUUGGGGACGAAGAGAUACACAGGGUAAAGCCAGAUGUGGACGAGAGAGGAUAA
rnacentral:rRNA from 1 species